rnacentral:lncRNA from 1 species
GUUUGACUAACAGUACCAGCCCCGUUGUGCUCCCUCAAAGGCGGGAGGAUCACGCAGAGAUAGGUCUGCCUGGCACACACUGCGAACCAUCCAUAUCUGUGGAUUCUGCUCACUUUUGCAGACUCCUCUGAGCACUGGGUAUGGAAGCAAGACUCUACCUUUUGGCCUUGGAAAAUGUAUCCUCCUACAGCUUCAUUUUUAUUAAUUAUCUCCUUUCAACUCAUCAUACUUUGAACAGGGCUCCCUCUGCUACCAUGGAUGCGGCAGCAUGGAGAUGGACCCUGGAAACAGAGGCCCCUACACUGGAGAAACCAACCAGAAUCUUACCAUCAUCCCGUCUAUGGGAAGACAAGUGUCUUUUCGACCUGGUACAACAUGAUCUACCCUUCCAUCCUGUUACGAGACUACUAAUCCUGGAAGAUAAAUGUGUCUGAAUGUAGUCCUUACUCAUCGGUAGAAUGUACACAGGGUUGCCAAACUACUGCCAGGCGAAUGAAUGCCUCUGAUCUCUGUUUCCAGAAAGCUUUUCCAACCAAUGGCUAGCUGCCCCGCUGGCCAUCUACCCCAGUUCAGGGGCAGGAAGAGUAAUUCUGCUUUCUCCACAAGUUAGUGAUCAAAGGUGACCAAAACCCAGCCAAAACGUUAAUUUUCUUUUUGUCAUGGGUUGAGGUCAGCUCAAAUAGUUUUAGACUCGUGUGUGUGUGUGUGUGUGUGUGUGUGUGUGUGUGUGAAGUGUCUUAAUUAUAAAGCUUUUCUUUCUGUUUUUGCACACACCAAUCUGAAAGUGACAUCUUCAGAGAAAUUCAGAGCUGCACUGUUUUGAAUCAAGGCUGGGCA